GGUGAGGUGCCAGAGUGGCCGAAUGGAGCGCACUGCUAAUGCGUUGUCUCCGCAAGGGGACCGUGGGUUCGAAUCCCACCCUCACCGCCA
rnacentral:tRNA from 1 species